rnacentral:rRNA from 1 species
UUUAAAAUGAGAGUUUGAUCCUGGCUCAGGACGAACGCUGGCGGCGUGCCUAAUACAUGCAAGUCGAGCGAGCGGAACUAACAGAUUUACUUCGGUAAUGACGUUAGGAAAGCGAGCGGCGGAUGGGUGAGUAACACGUGGGAAACCUGCCCCAUAGUCUGGGAUACCACUUGGAAACAGGUGCUAAUACCGGAUAAGAAAGCAGAUCGCAUGAUCAGCUUUUAAAAGGCGGCGUAAGCUGUCGCUAUGGGAUGGCCCCGCGGUGCAUUAGCUAGUUGGUAAGGUAAAGGCUUACCAAGGCGAUGAUGCAUAGCCGAGUUGAGAGACUGAUCGGCCACAUUGGGACUGAGACACGGCCCAAACUCCUACGGGAGGCAGCAGUAGGGAAUCUUCCACAAUGGACGCAAGUCUGAUGGAGCAACGCCGCGUGAGUGAAGAAGGUUUUCGGAUCGUAAAGCUCUGUUGUUGGUGAAGAAGGAUAGAGGUAGUAACUGGCCUUUAUUUGACGGUAAUCAACCAGAAAGUCACGGCUAACUACGUGCCAGCAGCCGCGGUAAUACGUAGGUGGCAAGCGUUGUCCGGAUUUAUUGGGCGUAAAGCGAGCGCAGGCGGAAGAAUAAGUCUGAUGUGAAAGCCCUCGGCUUAACCGAGGAACUGCAUCGGAAACUGUUUUUCUUGAGUGCAGAAGAGGAGAGUGGAACUCCAUGUGUAGCGGUGGAAUGCGUAGAUAUAUGGAAGAACACCAGUGGCGAAGGCGGCUCUCUGGUCUGCAACUGACGCUGAGGCUCGAAAGCAUGGGUAGCGAACAGGAUUAGAUACCCUGGUAGUCCAUGCCGUAAACGAUGAGUGCUAAGUGUUGGGAGGUUUCCGCCUCUCAGUGCUGCAGCUAACGCAUUAAGCACUCCGCCUGGGGAGUACGACCGCAAGGUUGAAACUCAAAGGAAUUGACGGGGGCCCGCACAAGCGGUGGAGCAUGUGGUUUAAUUCGAAGCAACGCGAAGAACCUUACCAGGUCUUGACAUCUAGUGCCAUUUGUAGAGAUACAAAGUUCCCUUCGGGGACGCUAAGACAGGUGGUGCAUGGCUGUCGUCAGCUCGUGUCGUGAGAUGUUGGGUUAAGUCCCGCAACGAGCGCAACCCUUGUUAUUAGUUGCCAGCAUUAAGUUGGGCACUCUAAUGAGACUGCCGGUGACAAACCGGAGGAAGGUGGGGAUGACGUCAAGUCAUCAUGCCCCUUAUGACCUGGGCUACACACGUGCUACAAUGGGCAGUACAACGAGAAGCGAGCCUGCGAAGGCAAGCGAAUCUCUGAAAGCUGUUCUCAGUUCGGACUGCAGUCUGCAACUCGACUGCACGAAGCUGGAAUCGCUAGUAAUCGCGGAUCAGCACGCCGCGGUGAAUACGUUCCCGGGCCUUGUACACACCGCCCGUCACACCAUGGGAGUCUGCAAUGCCCAAAGCCGGUGGCCUAACCUUCGGGAAGGAGCCGUCUAAGGCAGGGCAGAUGACUGGGGUGAAGUCGUAACAAGGUAGCCGUAGGAGAACCUGCGGCUGGAUCACCUCCUUUCUAAGGAA